GAUUUUCAAAAUCAAGGAUGAAAUCGAGCGGGAGAGUUGGUAAUCAUUGUACAUGCUCAGAGAAUCAAGGCGAAAAGACUGAGGUUUUCAGGGAUUAAGGACGCACGAUGGCGUGUUGCAGCAGGUUUAGUACAAAAUAGACGUUUCGACGGUCGCACGUUUUCGAGAAUCAUGAUUAAGAGCUACUUGGUUAACCAGGGGGUUGACAUGUGGCCGGACAAUUGGGAAAUCGAGAUCGUGGGGUUAUGUCUCAUAAAUGCGCAUGGUG
rnacentral:lncRNA from 1 species